rnacentral:rRNA from 1 species
GUCAAGGGGGCCCAGCAAUGGGCAACCGGCGAANGGGUGCGUAACACGUGAGCAACCUACCUAGGUGUGGGGGAUAGCCGGCCCAACGGCUGGGUAAUACCGCAUACGCUCUUCUUUAGGCAUUUAGAGGAGAGGAAACCUUCGGGGCACCAUGAGGGGCUCGCGGCCUAUCAGCUAGUUGGCGAGGUAAUGGCUCACCAAGGCGACGACGGGUAGCUGGUCUGAGAGGAUGGCCAGCCACAUUGGGACUGAGAAACGGCCCAGACUCCUACGGGAGGCAGCAGUGGGGAAUCUUGCGCAAUGGC